UACAGAGGGUGCAAGCGUUGUUCGGAAUUAUUGGGCGUAAAGGGCGCGUAGGCGGUGCGGUAAGUCUUUUGUGAAAUCUCCGGGCUCAACUCGGAGUCUGCAGGAGAAACUGCCGUGCUUGAGUGUGGGAGAGGUGAGUGGAAUUCCCGGUGUAGCGGUGAAAUGCGUAGAUAUCAGGAGGAACACCUGUGGCGAAAAGCGGCUCACUGGACCACAACUGACGCUGAUGCACGAAAGCUAGGGGAGCAAACAGG
rnacentral:rRNA from 1 species